CCUACGGGUGGCAGCAGUAGGGAAUAUUGCUCAAUGGGCGAAACUCUGAAGCAGCAACGCCGCGUGGAGGAUGAAGGCUUUCGGAUUGUUAACUCCUUUUGUUAUAGAAGAUAAUGACGGUAUCUAACGAAUAAGCACCGGCUAACUCCGUGCCAGCAGCCGCGGUAAUACGGAGGGUGCAAGCGUUACUCGGAAUCACUGGGCGUAAAGGGAGCGUAGGCGGGAUAGCAAGUCAGAUGUGAAAUCCUAGGGCUUAACCAUAGAACUGCAUUUGAAACUGUUAUUCUAGAGUAUGGGAGAGGUAGGUGGAAUGCUUGGUGUAGGGGUAAAAUGCGUAGAGAUCAAGAGGAAUACUCAUUGCGAAGGCGACCUGCUAGAACAUAACUGACGCUGAUGCGCGAAAGCGUGGGGAGCAAACAGGAUUAGAUACCCGGGUAGUC
rnacentral:rRNA from 1 species